rnacentral:piRNA from 1 species
UCCCCGGACUGUCGGCCAGGAGA